GGGGAUAUAGCUAAAUGGUAUAGCAAUAGAAUGACAGCGUGGGUUCGAAUCCCACUCUCA
rnacentral:tRNA from 1 species